AGUGAACGCUGGCGGCGUGCCUAAUACAUGCAAGUCGAACGGAGUGGAGCCAGGGUGAGUACUGUAUAGCUAAUCUGCCCUACACUAGAGGACACCAGUUGGAAACGGCUGCUAAUACUCUAUAGUGUAGGAUGAGGCUAUAUUGUAUAAGCUAGUUGGUGAGGUAAUGGCUCACCAAGGCUAUGACGCAUAACUGGUCUGAGAGGAUGAUCAGUCACACGGGAACUGAGACACGGUCCAGACUCCUACGGGAGGCAGCAGUAGGGAAUAUUGCUCAAUGGGGGAAACCCUGAAGCAGCAACGCCGCGUGGAGGAUGACACUGUUCGGAGCGUAAACUCCUUUUGUUAGGGAAGCGGUACCUAACGAAUAAGCACCGGCUAACUCCGUGCCAGCAGCCGCGGUAAGAC
rnacentral:rRNA from 1 species